rnacentral:lncRNA from 1 species
UUAAAAGUGAUUAAAACUUUGUCAAAGAGGUGAGGCAAAUGCACACAUCAUAGAGAGCCAAGUGUAGGGGGUCUCUGAAUCACAGCAGUCAAAAGAAAAGUGCUUUAGGAGAUCAAGAAUGAGAUUGCUUCCAGCUGGAUAAAUGCAGACAGAUUUCAAAGGGAACUAUUUGAAAGUGAGUGCCAGAAGAAUGAGGACCUUCCCCACGUGACUGCUGUCGCCUUGUCACACUCAAGAAAUUUAACAUUGGCAGAAGAAAUCUAAUAUUUAAAUUUCCCCAACUGUGCCAGUAAUAGUCCUGUAUCUUUUUAUCUUCCAAUCUGGGGAUGCACUCAGGGACCUUGCAUUGCAUUUACUGUCGCAUCUCUGAGUCUGCUAAACAGACCUCCCCCCCACCCUGCCAGUAUCCUCCUGUCACUUCCUGUCCCCUGGUCAUUGUCACGAAUAUGCACACAACAACCACCAGGCCUAGAGGUGAUGCCCCUUGAUGUCCCCUUUACCCUUUAGACUCACACAGCUCAGGGCUUGCCUCCCUCCCUGCCCUCACCCCCCCGACCAAUGCCUGUGUAGGGACCCUUCUGUCUGUGUAGGGACCCUUCUGUCCCCUCUGUCGCCUGAGCAGACAAGGAGCUUCCAAGAGGCCGGAGGUCCCAGUUUGCUUUUCCCCUGUGUUCCCAGCAAUGACACAGGGUUGAGACAGCUGGGGCUGGGGGUUUAUAGAGUCAGUGGACGUUACCCAUCCAGGCAGGAGGCCUGGAAGGGCCGGGCCAGCCCAGGAGCGGCAGCAGAGCAAGACACCACAUUUUCUUUCCUGCCCUCAGGACAGCCACUCACUGGUGGAAGGCCUCAGGUGUGGAGGCCCGGAGUCUGCUCAAGCUCUAUGGGAUCCGCUUCGACAUCCUCGUCACUGGGCAGAUCACCUUCUUCUGUGACCUGCUACUGUUGUACGUGGAUGAAGAAGCCCAUUUCUACUGGAGUACCAAGUAUGAGGAGGCAAAGGCCCCGAAGGUGACCACCAACCCUGAGCAGACAGAGCCAGCUUCUACACCCCCGCACGUGGCUGCCCAGGUGUCUUAGAGGGGGCCCAGUCUGGGAACCAGACACCAACACCAGAGUGGCCCAUGCCCAGGCUCUGGCCCCCACUCACUGGCCUGUUCCUGAGGCUGUUUCCUGCUGGUUGCCGGGUGGGGACCCCAUCUUGGGGAGCUGCUGGAUAAAGCCCCAGCAGGACCAGGGUCGGGGGUGGGGGGAGAAUUACACCCUUCCACUCCCAGACAGACUGACCCUUUCCUGACUCCAGCUUCAGCAGGGUGCUGCCUGGGGGGGGCCACAGAAGCCAGUUUUGUAGAGACCUGCAGCAGAACAGGAGCCACGGAGAAGGGGAGACCCUGGGGCACCCAUGUGGCAGGGUAGUGGGCCAGUGGGGCUCCUGCUGUGUCUGGGUCUAGAGAACUCUCUCCCAGUCCCCGUCAGCAGUGUUCCCAGCGGUGGCCUGCUCACCAGCUGUCAGCAGCAGCCCUCCCACUGGCUGUGGCAGACUCCAGCCUCCAGCCCCCCUCCAUCCGCCAGCACCUCUAUCGUAGGUAGAGCCCCUCCGUCUCAGCUGUGCUGCACCGGGGGCUGUGCAACCAGAGUCUGAAGCAAGGUAGAAAGAAGCCUGACAAGAGGGGUCAGGCUGCUCCGGUGUUGGAUUGCCUGGGGCAACCUACCCAACUCUGAAUGAAGAGUGAGUAGGCAGAUAAUCCAACCCCUACGGACCCCCAGGCAAGGACACAGGCACCCUUUGGUCUCACACUGGCCCAGUUGAUGAGCAUCAGCCCCUCCCUGGUGGUGGCCCUCAGGCUAUGGGGUUUGGGAUAGGGAGGAGAGACUGGAGGGCCUGAGAUGGUGGUCACUGGGUCCUUUGGGAUCUUCUGUAAGGCUCCUCAUUAACCACCCCUCCCCAGCCCAACCCCUAGAACCUGCUCACUGGAGCCAUGGGAGUAGGGAGGCUGUACAUCUGGAAUUCACUGCUACCCAAGGUCAUAGCUAAGAACCUGUCAGGGCAUCUGCUUGUCCCAGCCUGAGGCAACUGCAUGCAGGAGACCUUGAACAUAACCCUAGGUAGAGCCCAGUGGCUGGAAGGAAUGUCCCUCACAAAGGACACAAAGGUGCCCCGCAGGCUGGCUUGGUAUCUUUCUGGAGUCUGAUUCCUGCCUGCUGGAGAAUUUCCCCUGCCCCAGAGUCCCACAGUCAGGAGGGGAGGAACAGGGGCUGCAAGAGCCAAACUCCCUGUGGUCCCAGGGCAGAGGCAGGAAUUUGGGAGAACCCACCCGAGGGAGGCAAGGGCCUUCUCUCUCAUGGGUCCCUGGUGACCAAGGGUGAGCUGGCAGCUUGGCAGCGGAGCCACAAAGACCAGUUGGGGAGGGCCAGGGCUGGGGCUCAGGCUGGGCUAGCAUCUGGAAUCAUCUGGCACCUGGAGCCUCAGCAAAGCCUUGGGGUCUCCACUGCUUCUCAAUCCCCAGAGACGUGUCCAUGGGGAGGCAGGUUCAGGAGAGCCAAGGUGAGAGAACAUGGCUCUGAGGCCUGGUUAUUGGAGUGGGGUCACAUGUACCUGGUUGUGCUCAGGGCUCUAAGUGGUCAUAGCUGCAGAAAGUCAAGGAGUAAAGCCUGCUCAAACCAGCAGCUUCCUGUGUAGUCCUUAUAGGCAAGAACGGGGAGUUGGAAGCAUCUAUGAUGGACAUAGCAUGGCUUUAGGGAGACCAGUGGGGAAAGGGGAAGGAUGGGCCUGCGGACCCCCACCUCACAGCCACCAGCUGGGCUCAGCGGUACUUGGAGCAGGCCCAGGCCUUGUGCAUCCGUACGCAGGAGUGUAUACCAUACAUGUGUGUAAUAUCCUAAGCCUUUAUCGCAAAGCCCUUGAGGGAAGGGGGAGAGUACCAGCUGUGACAGCUAGAAAGCUGUGGCCAGGGCCUGAGGCUGGAAGCAGCAACACGUUGCCUCAGUCUGCAUGUGGGUGUGCAUCGUCAAGAUGGCCAUGCAGGCACGUGCCCCAGAGGAGCCCUGGGCAGGCCUCGGGGACAUGCUAUGCUUUCUGGGAGCCUUGGGAACCCAGGAGGACCCUGGAACUCCACUGCCCUUUGUAGGCGACCUUUUUGGGGCCCAGGUUCUGCUCUCUGGAUCUCCCCCUCCAAGGGACAUGUGGGGAGCCUGUGAUGGGGGGAGCCUGACUCUGCCCUUUUCAUGGUCCCCUCCUCUCCUGGUGUGUGUGUGGGUGUGUACAUAGCUCCGCUCUGAGCUGGGCAGAGGGCACCAGCCUGAGGGCAGGACUCCAGGGCCCAGGCCGGUGGUGUCUCUGAUUCAGGGUUGUCCCAGAGCUGGUGCCUCCCUCUUGCCAAAACUUAGCAUCUUUACUGUGGUUUGGGGACAAUCCUCUGGUUCUUGGGGGGGGGGCAGGAAAGCACUCAGCUCCACAAGGAAUGAAAUGGUGGACACAGCAGCAGGGCACAUGGCUGGCCAAGACGUUAUUAUUGUGGAUAUCUGGGGGCUGUGGGCCUCUCCCCUGC